UUUAGUGUAAAAUAUGCUGGAGUAGUAAUUGUUAAUAUCCUCAAACUCAAAAAAUUUGGCGGUAUUUUAUCUUAUCAGAGGAACCUGUUUAGUAAUUGAUGAUCCACAACUAAUUUUUACUUUUAUUAUAAUAUUUGUAUACCGCUGUCAUGAACAUAUUUAAAAAUUAAUUUUUUACAUUUUUUAUGAAAUUUAUGUUAGGUCAAGGUGCAGUUUGUAAAAGAGUAGAAUGGGUUACAUUAAAAUAAUAUGAAAGGAUCAAGCUAGAUUAAUGCUUGUGAAAAAGGAUUUGAAAGUAAAGUUGUUUAAUAGAAACAAUAUGAAUAAAGAUUCUAAAAUAUGU
rnacentral:rRNA from 1 species